rnacentral:misc_RNA from 1 species
AAAUAGCAAGCCACCUUGACUUCUGACCCACCACCACAUAAGUGAGAGACACGAAGGAAAUUGAAAUGAAGAGGCAAGCCAGCCACAUAAGCUUGUUAAUAACAAACACAAGCUGCUUCUUUGCCUUCUGUUCAAUCACAACAACAGACGUUUGGACAACAACGACGGCUAGAGAGAUGAAUAAUGCCAGGCUAUCAAACACAAAGAAGACUAGAAAAGCUGGAUUUUUUGCUAUAUGGGCUUGCCCAAGAGACGUUCCUUUUUCUUUAUCCUCAACAUACUGUCCAGGUACAGUGAAAAUGGCUGCAAAAGCAACAGUGGCUAUGAGCACAGCAACAACAGUGGCAGAGUUUAUGGCAUUGUUGAGGCCACUAAUAUGGAGUUU